UAGAAAUUCAGAUAGUCCGGUACUAAAGCACAGUGAGUUACUUGCAAGUCACCAUGAUGAUCUCAGAUCAGAGAGAUACUUAUACCCAUAUCCCUUCAGAGUGACUCUUGAUAGCAGAGUGCUCUGAAGUUGAUCACGUUUAGUAAAAUGUAUUCUUACAUUUCACCUGUAUGCUAUACUAGCAUCGACAUGCUCCUUGGUUAAGAGAACAACCAACCUA
rnacentral:lncRNA from 1 species